AAGUGGGAAGCAAAUAUUGCAAUCAGUUUCGACCUGAUCUUAGAUAAUAAUUUUAUCCCCACUUU
rnacentral:tRNA from 1 species